GAGUAAUGUCUGGGAAACUGCCUGAUGGAGGGGGAUAUAGUCGUCGAUUACUGGAAACGGUAGCUAAUACCGCAUAACGUCGCAAGACCAAAGUGGGGGACCUUCGGGCCUCAUGCCAUCAGAUGUGCCCAGAUGGGAUUAGCUAGUAGGUGGGGUAAUGGCUAUGCUAGGCGACGAUCCCUAGCUGGUCUGAGAGGAUGACCAGCCACACUGGAACUGAGACACGGUCCAGACUCCUACGGGAGGCAGCAGUGGGGAAUAUUGCACAAUGGGCGCAAGCCUGAUGCAGCCAUGCCGCGUGUAUGAAGAAGGCCUUCGGGUUGUAAAGUACUUGAUCGCUGGAGGAAGGCGUUAAGGUUAAUAACCUUGGCGAUUGACGUUACUCGCAGAAGAAGCACCGGCUAACUCCGUGCCAGCAGCCGCGGUAAUACGGAGGGUGCAAGCGUUAAUCGGAAUUACUGGGCGUAAAGCGCACGCAGGCGGUCUGUCAAGUCGGAUGUGAAAUCCCCGGGGGAUCACCUGGGAACUGCAUUCGAAACUGGCAGGCUAGAGUCUUGUAGGGGGGGUAGAAUUCCAGGUGUAGCGGUGAAAUGCGUAGAGAUCUGGAGGAAUACCGGUGGCGAAGGCGGCCCCCUGGACAAAGACUGACGCUCAGGUGCGAAAGCGUGGGGAGCAAACAGGAUUAGAUACUCUGGUAGUCCACGCCGUAAACGAUGGAUGAUGACUUGGAGGUUGUGCCCUUGAGGCGUGGCUUCCGGAGCUAACGCGUUCGACCUAGUUGGGGAGUACGGCCGCAAGGUUAAAACUCAAAUGAAUUGACGGGGGCCCGCACAAGCGGUGAGCAUGUGGUUUAAUUCGAUGCAAGCUCGCUGAAGAACCUUACCUACUCUUGACAUCCAGAGAACUUA
rnacentral:rRNA from 1 species